rnacentral:rRNA from 1 species
GACGAACGCUGGCGGCGUGCUUAACACAUGCAAGUCGAACGGAAAGGCCCUGCUUUUUUGGGGUGCUCAAGUGGCGAACGGGGGAGUAACACGUGAGUAGCCUGCCCUUUACUUUGGGAUAACUUCAGGAGACUGGGGCUAAUACCGGAUAGGAGCUCCUGCUGCAUGGUUGGGGUGGGAAAGUUGCGGAGGUUGGGGAUGGACUCGCGGCUCAUCAGCUUGUUGGUGGGGUUGUGGAUUACCAAGGCUCUGCCGGGUAGCCGGCCUGAGAGGGGGACCGGGCACAUGGGGACUGAGAUAGGGGCCAGAAUACUCCGGGAGGCAGAGGUGGGAGAUAUUCCACAAUGGGCGGAAGGCGGAUGGAGGAACGCCGCGUGAGGAAAGACGGCCUUCAGGAUGUAAACCGCUUUCGCCUGUGACGAAGAGUAAGUGACGGUAAUUGGUAAAGAAGCACCGGCUAACUACGUG